UCUCCGUAGGUGAACCUGCGGAAGGAUCAUUAAGGAGUGAGAGUCUUCCAGGGCCGACCUCCCAACCCUUUGGUUGUAGAACCUCUGUUGCUUCGGCGGACCCGCCGCGCGGCCGCCGGAGGACAGCUGCAAAGCGUCCUCAGGCCAGCGUCCGCCGAUCGCAAACCACAUAAACUCUUAAUGAAUCCUGGCAUAUGUCUAAGUCUAAGAUUAUAUUAGAGCAAAACUUUCAACAACGGAUCUCUUGGUUCUG
rnacentral:misc_RNA from 1 species